GAUGAACGCUGGCGGCGUGCUUAACACAUGCAAGUCGAGCGGGCAAUUUAUCUAGCACUGAUUACUUCAAAUGGCUAUCGCCAGUGUAAUCAUGAAUUUCUACCUUUUAAUAAAGAAAAAGAAAUUCAUGUAUGCAAAUAGUGAUAACACAUGAAAGUGGAGUGAUGAGUGCUGGAUAAAUUGCUAGCGGCGGACGGGUGCGUAACACGUGGGUAACCUGCCCCUAUCACUGGGAUAACACACUGAAAAGUGUGCUAAUACCAGAUAACAUAAGCUUUUGGCAUCAUUAGCUUAUCAAAGAAUUUCGGAUAGGGAUGGGCCCGCGUCUGAUUAGCUAGUUGGUGAGGUAACGGCUCACCAAGGCAACGAUCAGUAGCCGACCUGAGAGGGUAAUCGGCCACAUUGGAACUGAGACACGGUCCAAACUCCUACGGGAGGCAGCAGUGGGGAAUAUUGCACAA
rnacentral:rRNA from 1 species